rnacentral:rRNA from 1 species
AUGAACCCGGUGAACAGUACCACAAUUUACAAUAGAAACAAAGUUCACAAAAUUCGAAAUAUUUUUGUGGUGCACGAUGCUCCUGUGCGCGAACUCCAUGAUUUUUUUUGUGAAGUUUGGAUAUUCGAGGAGGUCGUGGCAAAAAAGACAAAAUCAGGCGUGAACAAUGUGAUUUCCAAAAGUUUCUCAGACAUUCGAGGCGUGAACAGUGUGAUUUUCAAAAAAGACAAAUUUCGGAUGUCCGAGAAACUUUUGAAAAUCGCACUAUUCAUACCUGAUCUUUUCUUUUUUGCCAUGAGCUCCUCGAAUAUCCAAACUUCACAAAAUUUUGCACAGUGUUCACGUACAGGAGCAUCUUACACCACAAAAUUGUUUUGGAAUUUUUAA